UAAGAACAGUAGUUAUUCAAUCUUUAUAAAAUUGAUUUAAUCAAAGUCUGUAUCUUCUUCUGCGUAAUUAAAUCUCAUAUCUCUUAUAGUUUCUUUUUCGUCUCUAUAUAUUUCGUCUUUGAGAUGCAAUACUUUAUAAUUAUUUAUAUGUUCUCUAUUAUAUUCAAAUCAGAUCUUUAUAUAGAUUAAUGAAUUUAAUAUUUCUUCAUUCACUUCUAACCAAAGUUUGACACUAGUAGCUUAGUCAUUGCAGUUCAGCCAAUUAGAUCAUCAUGCAGGGUGCAUUAUUUAUCGGUUAACGGGAAAUCACAGGCGAUCUUACCAUGAUCUGCCCCGUCCCAAUAUCAAAAUUACUGUCCCGAAUCAAAUUUCCUUAGAUCUAUAAAAUUAUAAAAAUAAAACAAAAAGCUCCUCGCACUUAAUAAUAUAUAAUAAUUUCUUAAAUCUUUCAUCAUAAACUACAUUAAACAAAGCUGGAUAACUGCCGAAAUCACAUGUGCAGAGAAACAUCAAAGGUUGAAGGGGUGAUAUCACAUCGAUAACGCGACCCGUGGAUAACUCUAUCUUGGUGUGUUUCAAUACUCGCAUUUCUCACCUGUUUAUUAUUUCCUUAUAUAUCUUCGUUUAUUCUUUCCUUAUUAUGUUCUCGCUACCAGAAUGCCCAAAGUAGCCGAUAACAACAACAAUAAUUAGGUUAAUCACCAACAGAUUGUGAUUUUUUAACUCUUUUUAAUUAGAAUCAGCUAAAAUAAUUAUAUACAUGUAAUUUUUAUCAAUCUC
rnacentral:sRNA from 1 species